AGUCGAGCGAACAGACGAGGAGCUUGCUCCUCUGACGUUAGCGGCGGACGGGUGAGUAACACGUGGAUAACCUACCUAUAAGACUGGGAUAACUUCGGGAAACCGGAGCUAAUACCGGAUAACAUGUUGAACCGCAUGGUUCAACAGUGAAAGACGGUCUUGCUGUCACUUAUAGAUGGAUCCGCGCCGCAUUAGCUAGUUGGUAAGGUAACGGCUUACCAAGGCAACGAUGCGUAGCCGACCUGAGAGGGUGAUCGGCCACACUGGAACUGAGACACGGUCCAGACUCCUACGGGAGGCAGCAGUAGGGAAUCUUCCGCAAUGGGCGAAAGCCUGACGGAGCAACGCCGCGUGAGUGAAGAAGGUCUUCGGAUCGUAAAACUCUGUUAUUAGGGAAGAACAAAUGUGUAAGUAACUAUGCACGUCUUGACGGUACCUAAUCAGAAAGCCACGGCUAACUACGUGCCAGCAGCCGCGGUAAUACGUAGGUGGCAAGCGUUAUCCGGAAUUAUUGGGCGUAAAGCGCGCGUAGGCGGUUUUUUAAGUCUGAUGUGAAAGCCCACGGCUCAACCGUGGAGGGUCAUUGGAAACUGGAAAACUUGAGUGCAGAAGAGGAAAGUGGAAUUCCAUGUGUAGCGGUGAAAUGCGCAGAGAUAUGGAGGAACACCAGUGGCGAAGGCGACUUUCUGGUCUG
rnacentral:rRNA from 1 species